ensembl:lncRNA
CUGGAGGGUAUACAGUAGGUAUGAUGGAGGGUAUACAGUAGGUAUGAUGGAGGGUAUACAGUAGAUAUGAUGGAGGGUAUACAGUAGGUAUGAUGGAGGGUAUACAGUUGGUAUGAUGGAGGGUAUACAGUAGGUAUGAUGGAGGGUACAUAAGGUAUGAUGGAGGGUAUACAGUAGGUAUGAUGGAGGGUACAUAAGGUAUGAUGGAGGGUAUACAGUAGGUAUGAUGGAGGGUAUACAGUAGGUAUGAUGGAGGGUAUACAGUACGUAUGAUGGAGGAUAUACAUCAGGUAUGAUGGAGGGUAUACAGUAGCUAUGAUGGAGGGUAUACAGUAGGUUUGAUGGAGGGUGUACAGUAGGUAUGAUGGAGGGUAUACAGUAGGUAUGAUGGAGGGUAUACAGUAGGUAUAAUGGAGGGUAUACAGUAGGUAUGAUGGAGGGUAUACAGUAGGUAUGAUGGAGGGUAUACAGUAGGUAUGAUGGAGGUUAUACAGUAGGUAUG